UUAGAUGCUGUGAUGAUAUAUUUUAUGGACUAGAGUUUCUGAUCUUGUAUUUGAAGACAAACCCUUGGCUGUCUGAGCAUAA
rnacentral:snoRNA from 1 species